CGCAGCUCCCGUUUCCCGUGGAUACCUUUCGGAGCCGUUUUAGAGAAAGUGAAACCGUUUAUUAAUUGGAAAGAAUUAGCCGCUUCUGUUCGGGUAGGUUUUUUUCCACCGCCUUCCGGUGCAUUAAAGAAAAACGCAAUUGCCGAAACCCGGGAUCGAACCAGGGACCUUUAGAUCUUCAGUCUAACGCUCUCCCAACUGAGCUAUUUCGGCUGCUGAUAGGUCAGCCUUUUGUGUAGGUCCUCCUGGUCGUGGUGCCGGCCCUGGGUCUUCCACCCUGGACAUCCGCCCCGGAAAGUCCCAAGAUCAGCCGGAACUCACGUCAUCCAGACUCUCGAGCCUCUAACUCCUUCUUGUCCUUCAAGGCGACCGCCUCCGAGAAGCCCUCCGGGAUCACGCCUCCCAACCCGACCCCAGCCUCUUCCUGUUACGUUAGGAAAAAAGUCACCCCCCAGGUGCAACUCUCCAAGCAGCCUGAGGUGUGACAGGGAUGCUGACCGCAUCAAGGCGUGUGGGGGCCGCACCAGCCAGACGGUGACUUUCCUUGGGGGCAGCGAGGGACUCAGAUCCGGGCUCCGAGCGUGGCCACCAUACCUGUGGCAGUUGCUCAACUUCAAGGCCUGAAGAGGUCACCAGGGUUGUGACCCCUGCUCAGAGAUCACUGGAACAGAUACCCUGGAAAGGUUUGAAAUUCUGCGAGAACCACCAGGAUGUUGGAAAAACGGCCCGACCGACUGGCGUGACGCAGGACUGCGACGGAUCUUAAUUUGUAAAGAACGCCGCUUCUGUGAAGCACGAUUCAGCAAACGAGUGCUGGUCCCCUCACGACCCACGGAUGGCGUGACCCUCAGCCUGCAAACACUGCCCAAGAGCAAGUUCGGCAGGCGCAGAGAAUCCUCUACGUGGAGAACACGCGCGUGCCCAGCCGCACAGCGCGGUAGGUGAGGGCAGAGGCGGAGACGACCCCAAACAAAUGGGCCUUCGACCACACGCGCCGACACGGACAAGGCCUUUGCACUUGCUGUUCCGGCUCCCCGUGUAGAAGUCCUCCCUCACUCCACUCAAAUGUCACCCAUCAGGGACUCUGCCAGCUCCCUCCACCCUCGUUCCCUCACUAUGCUCCGCCGAGUGCAGAACACGGCCUAGAGGACAGUAUGGGACACAGUCUGCACUGAGAGCAGCCACAAGCACACAGUGCCUACAGGGAGGAGGCCGACAGUUUAGAUUUGAGACAGAGCAAGAGGAGGAGGGGC